rnacentral:lncRNA from 1 species
UCCUGCAGCGUCUGACGUGCAUGCGAAGUAGAGGGUCUGCACAUCCAGACUUCUAUGAAGGUUUAUAUCAGAUAAUUUGAGAUUUAAUCUCUGAUUCUACUCCUAAUCAGGUAAAAAUUAGAUUCUUAAUUAUAUAGAUAAAUAAAAAAAAAUUUAGAUGCAACCUGGACCUUUUGAGCAGAAACAGUUUCUUUCCCUUCAAUUGAUAUCAGAGCUGGCCUGAAAUAUAUACAUAUAUAAUAUUUUUUUUUGAAAUUAAUAAUAUAAUAUAUAAUUAAAAUUUUUUGUAAUAUAUUAAAUUCAGUUUAAAUAUAUUUGUAUAAAAUUUUUGAUCUAAUUUUGAUCAGAUUAGAGG